rnacentral:rRNA from 1 species
AAAUUCUGCCCUAUGAAUAUUUAAAUGGCUGCAGUAUUCUAACUGUACAAAGGUAGCAUAAUAAUUAGUCUUUUAAUUGAGGACUGGAAUGAAAGAUUAAAUGAGAAAUUUAUUUUAUUUUAUUUAAUUUUUAAAUUUUAUUUUUAGGUAAAAAAGCUUAAUUGAUUUAGCGGGACGAAAAGACCCUAUAGAAUUUUGUUUGAUAAAUUUUAUUUUUUAUAAAUUUUUAAAUAAUAAAGUUUAUUUAAAUUUGGUUGGGGUGAUAAAUAAAAUAAACUUUAUUUUUCUAAUUCAUUUAUUUAUGAUUAUAUUGAAUUAAAUUUUAGUUAAAAGAUUUAAUUACCUUAGGGAUAACAGCGUAAUUUUUAUGGAGAGUUCAUAUCUAUAUAAAAGUUUGCGACCUCGAUGUUGAAUUAAGAUUAAUUGGUGAAGAAGUAUUUACUAUUUUAAGUCUGUUCGACUUUUAAAUUCUU